GAUGAACGCUGGCGGCGUGCCUAAUACAUGCAAGUCGAGCGAACAGACGAGGAGCUUGCUCCUCUGACGUUAGCGGCGGACGGGUGAGUAACACGUGGAUAACCUACCUAUAAGACUGGGAUAACUUCGGGAAGCCGGAGCUAAUACCGGAUAAUAUAUUGAACCGCACGGUUCAAUAGUGAAAGACGGUUUUGCUGUCACUUAUAGAUGGAUCCGCGCCUCAUUAGCUAGUUGGUAAGGUAACGGCUUACCAAGGCGACGAUGCGUAGCCGACCUGGGAGGGUGAUCGGCCACACUGGAACUGAGACACGGUCCAGACUCCUACGGGAGGCAGCAGUAGGGAAUCUUCCGCAAUGGGCGAAAGCCUGACGGAGCAACGCCGCGUGAGUGAUGAAGGUCUUCGGAUCGUAAAACUCUGUUAUUAGGGAAGAACAAAUGUGUAAGUAACUAUGCACGUCUUGACGGUACCUAAUCAGAAAGCCACGGCUAACUACGUG
rnacentral:rRNA from 1 species